AGAAUCAAUAUUGAAUCAUAUGAUGCAUUCUAUGCAGAACGCGCACCCAUGUGUCAUACAAUAUGUUCCAAACAUCUUGCUCAACAAGUUUCUUGAACUUGAACAAACUUUAACACUAAAUAAAACUAACCAACUCAUUGUAAUAACCUCUGGGAGAAAACAUAACACUCAAAUUUACUCACGAAACUUGACUUAUAGACUGAGACCAGAUGAUGCACACAUAUUGGAACAUCUUAUCCCAUAUGAUGCCUCUUCAUAAUUUACAUUUUGUGUUGUCCAUGUUGUUUUACCAAAUGCGGUCACUCAAAAGGAACAACAAAACUGAAAAUUGCAUAAGGAAUAACAUUCUCAAUAACAACAUUGAGCAACAAAAAUAACAACAUAAUAUUUUACCUAUAUCAACAAAAAAAUAACAACGCAACUAACAAAAAAAACACAACAAUACCAUAUAUAACUCAACAAAACAACAUAUAUAACUCAACAAAAAACAUAAACAUUAACAAAAAAACAUUAUACUUGUAUCAACAAAAACAACAACAUAACUCAACAAAAGUAACAACAUAACUAAUAAAAACCACAUCAAUAUCUGAAACCUUUUACUUGUCUUAACAAAAAUAACAUAUAUAACUCAACAAUAACAUCAAAAUUAACGAAAAUAUUAUACUUGUAUAAAAAAAAUAGCAUAGCUCAACAAAAACAACAACAUAUAUAAUUAAAUAAAAACAACUUAUACAACUCAACAAAAUCAACAUAUAUAACUCAACAAAAACACCAACAUUAACAAAUACAUCUUACUUGUAUCAACAAAAAUAACAACAUAACUAAAAAAAAACAUAACUAAUAAAACCACAACAAUAACAUAAAUCUUUUACUAUUAUCUCAACAAAAAUGUCAAGAUUAACAAAAAUCUUUUACUUGUAUCAACAAAAGUAACAACAUAACUCAACAAAAAAAAAACAUAACUCAACAAAAAAACAACAAUAAAACUGAAAAAACCACAACAAUAACAUAUAUAACUCAACAUAAACAACAUAUAUUACUCAACAAAAACAUCAACGUUAACAAAAACCUCUUACUUGUAUCAACAAGAACAACAACAUAACUAACAAUAACAUAAAAUUUUCAAUUAUCUCAACAAAAACAACAACAUAAAACCUUUAAUCUAAUCUUAAUAACAACAACAAUAAUUGUUAACCUACUUAUUAACUCAACAAAAUAAGAAAACAACUCCACAAAAAAAGCAUUCAAUAUAUAUGAUUUAAUGUCUCAGUAAAAAGAAAAACAAUAAAUCCUAAAAGACAAAUAGUUUUAACAACAAAAAAAAUUAAAGAAUGGUGGAAAAUGUUUCACGUACAUACCGGAAAUGUGAAGAGGAAGACAAAGAAAUGAGUUUCAUGUUUUUGUUUUGCAAAGAUUUGUGACACAUUUCCUUGAUCCAUACUAAUUGAAGAAGUUAUGUUUGAGUUUUGUAAAAAUAUGUUGAAGUUUUGUGAGAUUGAGAUAAGGUAGAGUUUCAUGUAUGAAGUGCAAAUUGUUCUGAAGUGAGUUAAGUUAGUUUAUAUAGGUAAAAUAUUUCAUCACAGUUGAUAAAGG
rnacentral:lncRNA from 1 species